rnacentral:sRNA from 1 species
CAUGCUGUCACUUUUCUCCAAGAGGGGGCUCAGUGGCAAAUGUUAAGCUAGUGAUAGUAUUGCGAAUGAGAAAUUAGCCUGCCCUGCUUUCAAGGAUGUGACCAUGACAUCCCAAGAGAAGGAAGGCUUUGAAGGCAGACAUGUGCCUGGUUAGGAAGAUGGAGCUAAAGUUAGGAUACAGCUUGGGAGACCCUCCAGAAUAAAAGGAUAUUUACAAGAUCACACCUGAGUGGAGACAAGAAAGGAACAGCCCCAGAAGCAAGUAAAAGGAGGAGGAGAAACUCGCUCAUCAAGGACCUUUGAAGUUCAGAUUGGGAUGUACACAGGAAUGGAGGAAAAAGGAGGAGGCUGCCCUCAUGGCUGGAGGGGAGGGGGAAAUGGAGAUGGCACAAGUUGCAAUGUGCCUAAGACUGGUGACGUUAGCUUGCUGUUUGAUUUUCCAACAGCCAGACAGUGGGUUCUUCUGUGAAGAGAAUUCCAGUGAUGAUGAUGUGAUUCUGAAAGAAGAAUUCAGAGGGGUCAUUAUCAAGCAGGGAUGUUUACUGAAGCAGGGGCAUAGGAGGAAAAACUGGAAAGUGAGGAAGUUCAUCUUGAGAGAAGACCCUGCCUACCUGCACUACUAUGACCCUGCUGGGGCAGAAGAUCCCCUGGGAGCAAUUCACUUGAGAGGCUGUGUGGUGACUUCAGUGGAGAGCAACUCAAAUGGCAGGAAGAGUGAGGAAGAGAACCUUUUUGAGAUCAUC